rnacentral:lncRNA from 1 species
AUUUUCUACCGAGAAGAGACAAUGGUCACCGUGCUCUCUGCAGGCUCUUCUGAAUGGGAGCUGUGAGGAGAGAUGCUGCCAGCCACGAUGGAAAGUUCUGGAAGGGUACCUUAGGUCCUGGUGAUCUUCAGGUGAGUUUUCAUGCCUUAUUGGUGAUUUCUAGAGAGAGUUUCCUGAGAUGUUUUCAAGAUGUGAGGACAGUGGGAUGAGUGACAGGUAAGUGGGAGUGUCCCUGGGGAGCUGGAGCUGAACCCCCCCACCCCCAACACCAUGUGCUGGAGGCCAGAGUCCAGGAGUCUCUGCAGGUAGCAGGUUGGGAUGUCAGGGACUCCCUUUGUUCUUCUAGCAGAUCCCAGAGUUCAGGGACGUCCACUCUGCAGGGCAGUCCCA